GGUGGCUGUUUACCUUAAAAAAAACAUGUCUCCGCAAAGUCGCAAGAUCAUGUAUGGGAACUGAUACUUGCCUAGUACCAGAAAGUCAAGAAAGUUAAAGAACUGAUGACAGGAAAGUCGGCAACUGAAGCCCCGGUGAACGGUGGUCCUAAGGUAGCGAAAUUCCUUGUCGGGUAAGUUCUGACCCACACAAAAGAUGUAACGAUU
rnacentral:ncRNA from 1 species